CCCUUAGAUGUCCUGGGCCGCACGCGUGCUACACUGACGCAUACAACGAGUAUUUCCAGCUCCGAGAGGUAGCUGGUAAUCAGCAAUAUGCGUCGUGAUGGGGAUUGAUCUUUGGAAUUGUGGAUCAUGAACGAGGAAUGCCUAGUAAGCGCAGUUCAUCAAACUGCGUUGAUUAAGUCCCUGCCCUUUGUACACACCGCCCGUCGCUCCUACCGAUUUCGAGUGGUCCGGUGAACCUUUCGGACUGAGAGUGGCCUCGAGUCGCUUUUAGAAAGUCAAGUAAACCACNUNACUUAUNGGAAGGAGAANUCGUANCA
rnacentral:rRNA from 1 species